rfam:Schistosoma haematobium scaffold593_6, whole genome shotgun sequence.
AUUCAGCUGAUGAGUCCCAAAUAGGACAGAAAGCGUGUCCUGGAU